GGAGGUUUUAGCUUAAUUAAAGUGCCUGGUUUGCAGUCAGGGGAUGUAUUUUAUAAUAUUACAAACCUU
rnacentral:tRNA from 1 species